rnacentral:lncRNA from 1 species
UGAAACAUUAAAAUUCGUGGCCUAGUCCAAACUGGAAAUAUUAUUUAGCAACAGCAACAACUUACUUUGAAGGUACAUCUAGACUGAAACCAUGACCUUUAUUUAUUAUAAAAGUGAUCCUUAAUUUAUGACAGUCGGAGAACAAGAGGACUGUAAAUUUGUAAAUUCAGUGGUGAAACCAGGGGAGGAGGAACGAUAUCUGAAUAUAAGUGUCUCAAAUUUAUGCAGACCAUUGUUGAUGGUGAGAAGUUGAUAAAUAAUUACAUUUUAAAACUCCAGAUAAUACAAACAUAAAAAAAUAUUUUAGCACUGGAGUUAUAAAAUUAUAGUCCCCGGCCACCACUGGCUGGACUAAAUUGCAGAAGAAUUUGUUUAGAUGUCCUGAAGGCACUCAUUCUCUGCUCAAUGUUAAAACAUACUGAAGCUAGGGACUACAACGUGGUUCAGCGGAAAAAUUACUCAUUCCAGUAUUUUCGCUGUUCUAGAUACAAAUAUUAUUCAGGGUCAUAGUGCUUAAAUUGCUAUAACUACCAUAAUCACAAUCCUCCCUAAACUAAACUAAGAGUGUUUAAGAUGGGCUGUGACAAAAACUACUAAAGUUGGCAGAAGAAAAAUUACCAAUACUGGCACCAAAAUCGGAGUUGUUCGAUCUUGACUUUGUUCUUCUCAACAGUUUUAAAACACAGAAAAGCAGGAUAAGCAUAUCCAAGCACCAUCCUGCCACCCCAGAACUAAUUAGACAUGAUUAUCGACUCGUAAAAAAUGUACUCCUACUUUAGGCAGAAUAUAAAUCGCUUCGAACAAGAAGAAAAUGGGGGAUCAGGAUCGUACACAAGAAGUUUAAAAAUGAUUUCUGCCAACAUCUCCGAUGAUUAGCAGCCAAGGAUCCAAAAUUCCUGAAACAGAGAAUGAGAUGGUCACUACAAUUGGUAAGAAAUCUAUAUCGUACCACGUUAAAUGACCAGCUCUUCUAGAACUCACCUCAGUUUAACGAAAGAACAGUGGCAAAACACAUGCAAAGCAGCAGAAAGAGUAUUUUGAUUUGAGGUGUUUAGGGAAGGGGAACAUGAAAUAUAUGAACACACUUGUAGUGACUAGACGUGAGAAAAUUAUGUGCGACGUACACUCUUUUAUGGAUCCAUCUAUAUGUUCGUAAAUGCAUCUAUAAAUAUUAUUUAUAUUGGUGUCUGCUUGUUAAAGGAAAAGAGAUUAAAGCGUUUGAAUAAUCGAGAGGGAGGGAUCGAGGAGGAUGGGAUAACGGAUUACUCGUAUAUACUUUUGUUACAAUUAACAAGUUAAUUUACUCAAAUCCAUAACAAAACCCAGGCCUUUUUUCUCUGUUCUAUCUAGCCGCCUCCCUCUUUUCUCAUUCUGACGGGGCUUACAUCGAUUUUCUGGUGGAAAACCCUGAAUCUUUUCGUUUAAUUGUUUGUUUUUUUGGUUAUUCUUUCUUGUUUCAUUGAUUUUCUGAAUAAAACUCUCUUUUUGGGCAAAGUUAUCUUAGAUCUUUAUCACCGAAACUUUCGAUUUUCGUUCUUAUUCGCUUCCGGAGGGUUUUUUUGGAUUUGUGAGUAGAUCGGUUAUCUUCAAGUGUAGGUUCGUGGUGCAGAUCUAAUCGUUUUAGUUUGCAGUGGAUUUUUUCUCUUGUGUUAUAAUUAUAGUUUGAUUUGUCUCUUUGGUGAGAGUGUGUGAUUCUUCUCUCUUUUUGUGAGAGUUGAUUUAGAUUUAUCUCUUGUGUUAUAAUUAUAGUUUGAUUUCUCUCUUUGGUGAGAAUGUGUGAUUCUUCUCUCUUUUUGUGAGAGUUGAUUUAGAUUUAUCGAUAAAAAUCUUUCGCGAAUUGCAUUUGUGAUUGAUAACUAGCUCAAACGGAUUUUUUGGAAAAUAUGGUGAACGAUAAGGAUCUAUAAAUAUACUCAUUAAUUUCAACAUCGUUUAUUUGUUUCAUUUUGAGUAUGAAGACAAGCGUGUUAUUCUAUUAUAUGUUUGUUCGAUGCCGUAUGUUAUUUAUUGAAUUAAUAAAAGUUAAUUUACUCAAAAUAAAACACAAGUUAAUGUAAAAGUUCGAGAUUGGUUAAAUAAUUCAUAAAGCAGUACAACAAAAUGGACUGCAUAGCUUACUCAGCAAAUUUAAUUAAGUAAUUGCACUGUGCACACCUUUUUUUAGUUUGGAUCAAUUUGCAUCUAUAAUUCUAUCUAAUAUCUGCAGACAAAAUAUUAGAUAUGUGUAAAUUUUUAUUUAACACUGUAGGCAAAUACAUGCAUGCGGUAAUCCUUACAUUAGAUUAUAAAUCUUGCAUUAUGUAUAUAGCAUUCUUAUGAUUAACUGGGCGACAGUGAAAGGAGAUUCCUGUUUAUGUAUUUUUUCCCCUUAAUUUAGAUGAAUAUCAGCAGGUUCCUUGGUUCAACUUUUAAACUAAUUGGUUAGAAUAAAAUUUAAAGGUACUUUAUGUUUAACACUAAAGGACUUUGUAGUGCGACCCCUUUAGUAGGCUGUCAAAAAAAUUCGAAAUAUCCGAUAUCCGUCCGAAAAAUCCGCAACCGUAUCCGAGAAAAAGCGGAUAUUAUUCGUAUCCGAAAUAAAACGGAUAUUAUCCGUAUCCGAAUCCGUGAUAUUCGAAUCCGAAAUUAAAUACAUAUAUGAUAUUUAAAUUAUAUGAUAUAUAAGUAUAUGUAAUUAAAAUUUUAUUUUAUUUAGCUUGUAGUGUGUGUUUAUGCAUUAAAUAAUACAUUCACAUAAAUUUUAUAUAAUUGUACAAAUACUCAAACACUUUCUACAUAUAUACAAAUAUUAUUUGAGCUUAGUCAUAAAAAAAUUGUUCGAAAAUCAUCGUUAAUACGGUAGAGUCAUCAAAAAUAUCCGACAUCCGUCCGAAAUAUCCGCAUUUGUAUUCGAGAAAAAGCGAAUAUUAUCCGUAUCCGAAAUAAAGCGGAUAUUAUCCGUAUCUGAAUCCGGCCAUUGCGGAUACGGAUACGGAUAUAGGCAUAUCCGUAUCCGAAUUAUCCGUUUAACAGCCCUGGCCUUUAGUUUGGCCAAAUAUUUGACUAAUAAAAAUCCUAUAAACAAUACACACGAGGUUAGAUAUUAUGACCAAUUAUUAAAUAAAAAACUUUUAUUAACUUGUAGUUAUGUUAUAUUUUCAAUUUUCUACUGAUAAUAUGUAGAUUUUUAUAAUAGAAAUAUGAUUUCAAAAUACCAGUAGUAUAAUUUAGAAAGAUAUAAUAAAACUAUUUAUUACGAAAAUAUGUUUGAAUUAUUUCACAAAACAGUUAUAAUUCAUUUCAGGGAGCUGGCUGUUAAGAUAACCACACAAAAAUUGAUAUGUGACCUCUGUGGUUUCUCUUUUCCUUUAUUAUGCUCAUGUUUUUGCUUUUUGUGUGUCAUGCCUUAUCUUCGUUAUCUGAGUACCAACUAAACCAUAACCAAUAAACUUAAGUUGCAAGUAAAGUGAAGGUGAACUGAAAUGUGAAGAAGAAUGUAGUAGUGCAAGGUUGAUCUCGAUAGACUAAUAUUACUCCUAAUUUGUUAUUAUGAUAACUCUCAGAUUGGAUUGGAGCUUAAUUUUGAUUGACCCGGGCAUGGUUUCAAAAUUAUAUAUGUCUAAAAAAGUAUUUGAAAAUCGCACUUUUAUAAACAAAACAUUAUAGAAUUCGAACUGAUCCCCCAUCAUAAUGUAAUGUUGCAGGCUGCGAGCCCAUGGUAAAUAAAAUUAUAUGUGCAGCAUACAACUAAUAACAACUACUCCCUCCGUCCCACCGGGUUGUUAACGUUCACUGUUUGCACGCAUUUUGAGACUCUUAUAAAGUAUAGUUAUAUAAUGGUUUUUUAAUUUAUUUUUUUUCUGAAUAAAAGUUUAAACAUCAAACUUUUAUUCAGAAUUUUUUUUAUAAAAAAAACCUCAUGCAACUAUAUUUUAUAGAGGUCUUAAAAAGCGUGCCAAAAAGUGAUGUUAACAAUCCAACGGGACGGAGGGAGUAUUUGAAUAAAUGACAAAAGGGUGGUCGGAAUUUUUCAAAGUUUAUAAAAAAUUGACUGGACUUUAAAUAUAAUGAAAUAGUUGCUAGGAUUUACUUCCGCUUUUUAAUAAGAUGGCACCGUCAACCGCAGUUAAUAUAACUCCGUUAACUCUUAAAGUUAAGAAAAAAUGACAAGAGGGUGGUGUAAGUUUUCAAAAGUUGCAAAAUAGUGGCUAGACUUCAAAAUUAACAGAAUAGUGGCAGCCAAUUAUUUGCAAUUUUUAAAAGCUCGAGCCACACUCUGGUCCUUUAUUCUCAAAUUUUUGAGUUAACGGAGCUACGUUGACGGUGUUUGACGGGCGCCACUUUAUUAAAACACAGAAGUAAACUUCGACCACUAUUCUCCUAUUUUUAAUGUCCAGACAAUUUUUUACAAAUUUUGAGAAAUUCCGACCACCCAUUUGUCAUUUAUUCCAACUAUUUUGAACUGCAGAAUUUAUCGCUUUAAACUACAAAUUUCUAGUAUACAAGUACUAAAACAAAUGUUAUUCAGUCUUCUUCUGGCAUAGAACCACCAAAAAUAGUUUAUUUACAAAAUAAACUAAUGAUAAGCUCUGAUAAUUCGUUUGUUGAGGAAAAUUGAGCAUGCGGAGCUGCUAUAAAUUUUUUGGCAUACUUUAGAAAUGAAGAUAGACUUUGCUUUCGCUUUACAUGCAUAAAUUGCACUAUAGCUUAAUGGUGGGAACAAAACACAAAAGAGUAAGGGAUGCAUGUACAACAUGGAUUGAGACUUGAGAGACAUAUUAAAAUAUGAAGAAAUAUUAAACAUAAAUUUAAGAGUAUCAAAAUCUAAAAUUGCUUGUACUUUGGGGCAUUCAAUACUACUGAUCUGCACUAUAUUGUACCAGCAUUAUAGCAUAGCUCCUCUCCCCAAUUCUAAGGAAAUUUUAGUCACUCGUCCAGAAUUUUUUGGUUUAAUAUUUUUACAAUAAUCUUACUAUUUUAUAUUUUUAAUUUGUUAGAUUUAAUAUUGAUUUGUGAUUUAAAAUUAUUUAUCAAAUUACGAUAUUUAGUUAAGAGUUAAUAAAAUUUAUUUUCAGAAUAAAACUUAUAAUAAAGAGAAAUAUAAUUUUAUUUAAUCAAUAAAAUAUUUAUAUUUCCUCCAUCAUAAUCCAAAUAAUGUCAGUAAAUAUUUAUAUCAACCUCGUAUUAACUAUUAUUAUCUUCAUUUGUUGGAUUGAGGUGUUCAUCUUUGUUAUUGAGUUAUUAAUAGAAGUAAUAUGAUUAUGGGCUUUAUUUCAAUACAAACAGAGCUUGGGGUUAGUCAUAUCCAAAAUAAUGUUCUUGUUCCAAGUUUACAUUAAAAUUUACUCAGUGUGGGUUAAUUGUUCGAAAUGGAUAUAAAUUGAAAAUUGAUAUUAAUAUGUGCAACAAGAAGCAUGUGGUAAUAACAAUUGAAAUGAAAAAUAAAAAUUCUCUCUCAAUAUGAAAUAUGUAUUAGCUUUGCGAGGGACAACGUCCAUGGUAUAAAAUACUUGGCCAUGUAAAUUUUUAAAGUUCGGAGGUUCUUUUUAAUCAAAGAAUGGUACUACACAGGUUUCAUUACAUCCAAGAAAUAAAAGGUGUUUGCGAAAGAUAUGUAUUUGGAAAACAACAUCGACAAUCAUUUUCAAAAAAAGUCUCAAGCGGAAGAAACAUAAAGUAUACAAACUGAAGGUAACAUUGUACGUCUAAAACAAGCACCCAUUGCUUGGUACAAUGAAAUAAAUAAUUCUUUUUUAUAAUAUCUGGAUUUAUAAGAAGCAAAAGUGAACCAACUUUGUAUGUCAAACAAGGUACUGAUAUACUAAUUGUUAUUUUUUAUCUUGAUGAUUUAUUUCUUAUUAGAAAUUAUAAAAGUAUGAUUGAAUCAUUCAAAAGAUGGUAUAGCCUAAAAAGAUGAGAUGAGUCACAUGGGUUUGCUACGACAUACGAAAUUUUCUUGGCAUAAAGACUUAUCAAGAUGAGGAUAAUGUUUUAAUUUGUCAAAGAAAUUAUGCAACAAAAAUAUUAAAAAAUUUCGGAAUAUUUGGACGUAAUCCAAUUUCUACAUCAAUAAUUAUAGUGUAAAAAUUUCAUAAGAAAGAUGAUGGAAAAUUGAUGGACUAUUUAUUAUCGAAGUCUCAUCGGAAAGCUAUUUAUAUACUUGUACAACAGGACAGAUCUUAUGUUUGUUGCAAGUAUGCUCUCAAAAUUCAUGCAAAAAUCAAAUUACAUACAUUUUGGAGCUGCAAAAUAUAUUCUUGGUUACAUUCAAGAAACACUAGACUAAGAUUUUUGUUAUAUGAAAUAAAGAAGUAAAUGUAAAACUGACCGGUUAUAGAGAUAGUGAUCUUGAAGGAUGUAAAGAUAAAUUGUACAUCAAGCUAUUAUUUCUCAUUUGAAUUAGGAGUAUUUUCAUGACAAUCAAGAAAUAAGAAAAUGUUGUGCAAUCUAUAGUUAAAUAUGAACAUGUAUCAGGCACUUUUCAAGUUAUCUGGCUUUGGCUUAGGAGAAUAUUAAAAGGUUUUAAUUUUGAACAACAAAACUGAAUUCCGAUUUAUUGUGACAAGUCAUGAUAAAUCAGUAAUUGAAUGGCUGAAAAUCUAGUUGAUAACAAUAGGAACAAAGAUGUUGUACUAAAACAUCACUUUUUUAGGAUGCCAUUGAAGAUGGUGAAAUAAAGCUUUUGUUAUGUCCAUUUGAAGACCAAAUAGUGGACAGAUUUAUUAAGGCGUUAAGAGAAGUUCUUGAAAUGCGUCAAUAGACUCAAUACGUUAAGAGGGAGAAUGUUGGAAAUUAACGUUUUUUCUGUUCAUACUGUGGAAAAAUCUGUAGAGUUAAUCUAAAAUUCAUUUAUUUGUCAAAUUCAAUGUAUUGAGAGUCAUUCAUAUACUAUCUAGUAAAUCAAUACAAAAUAUAUUCUAUAAACACUAGUACUUUCAAGCAGUCUAUAUGUCAACAAAAAUUUAACAAGUAGUAUCUAGCCAAACAAGUGCAGCAGUUUACGCUGGUAUGUUUUGAUGAAAUUGCUGCUGCUGAGGUUGCAUUUUUCCUUGGCCACUCCAUCUAUUUGAAACCUUUUUUAUGGUCACCAUGUUGUAAGCUGCUUAUAUUUCAAACCUUUUUAAUGUAACAUAUAUAUGGUCCUGCUAAAUCUAAUCUUAAAUCAAUUUAGAACUUAUGUAUCAGUCGGGACGAAUCUAAUGGUGAAAUGAAUUGUUUUCAUCAUCUCUGUUUCCUGGUUUAUGAUUGGUUUGUAUUGUCCAUAUGAAAGUACUCAGAUCUGCUAGUAAUCCACUGGUAACUUGUUUAUUAUGUUAUACCAAGUUGCAAGUGAGUUGUGUCUUAGCUAGCUAGCAGUUGAGUUGAUCUUUGUGUGUGUUGCAUAUGAUACCUGUUUAUUACAGUUACACCAAACUAGCUUCAUCUAUUCACUCUAGCUACAUUUUCACUUUAUGUAUGUGUUACAUCAACAUACAUGGAAUGCCGUUGAACGGUUAAAGCAAGCCUGUUUAAUUUUCUACCCACCACCUGUACACAAACUAUAAUUCUCCCCUGAUACUAGUGAUAAUAUAUUACAAUGAAAACCAACCAAGGCUUCAUGUUUCAGCUAUCCCCUGGCCCUGCCUAACAUGAUAGCAUCACUAUCUCUGUUGCUGGGACUAAAUCAUGUCAUAUUCGCAAUACUUUAUACGCCUCAGGCCCUGCACCAUUUGACAGGGCAGUAAUGCAGUGUUAAGCUUAAUAUAUGCCAAAAAAGAAAGCUAUACGGCAUAUAUCUCCAAAUCCAAUUCUUUAACUUCAACUUCUUGAGUCAAGUGUCACACUCAUUUCGAAACAAUUACACGAAUUGAAGACGAGUCUGCAUCUGUAGUCUCUAGCACCAGAGACACGAAACAACAUGACAAUUUUGGUUCGUUCAUGAUUACCUUAAUUAUGAAAUUUGGAAGAUUUAUACAUGAAUACAUAACUAGAAAAUUGUCUUGUCUGGCGAAACAUUAAAGGCGGAAAAAUGUAAUACUAGUAAUAAAGCAAGCUAGCUGGUCUCACUAAUCUUGUUUGCCUCCUGAUCACGAAUGAGAUGGUGAUCAAGUCCUGCUGCAACUUCCUCGUCGUCUUCUUCUUCAAAUAGAGUCAAUAAACAAGGAUCAUUGGACCAAUUCGAAGAAAAGGAUAAAACAGAAACAGGAGGUUCUGUUGCGACAGUAGCAGAUGACAAAUCAGAAGAACUCUUACCCUCAUUAUCACACGAUGAAGUCCCCGAAGAUAAUAAAGUAGUUGGAGAAGAAAAAGUAGUAUUGGAAGCCGAAGAGAUCUCUAGUGAAACCAACAAGUCAAUAAAAGCUCCAACUAUAUAACCAUGGUUGCUUUUGCAGUUGAACUUUAGAUACCAGCUCAAAAGCUGAUCAAGUGAAUCGCGAUCACCUUUCAUGUUAAGGCCACUGGCCUCCACCACUUCCUGCAUUGAUUUCUUGAAAUCUUCGAAUGGAUUCGUCGAGUCCAUUCCCAUUACCACUAGUUUAGCAUCACUACUGCUGAUGUAACUGCUAGUACUUGUAACAGGAUUAUUUUUGUUAAAAUCAGUAGAGUUUUUGUCAGUCUUUGAUAGUUUAAGUUGAGGGCUAGUUGCUUCUGCAAUGUGAUUAUCAAAGAAUAGCCUCUCUGAUGAUAAUCUCGCUUGUCGAAUGACAUUCUCUAUUGUUUUAUCCAAGUCCUCGUCCUCUUGCUGCUCAAUUGUAUCUGCUGACAGAUCGCGAGCCGAUGAGUUAAAGAAGCAGGACUCUGUGGCUACAUGAACCGAGUUGUGCAUCGGUUCAUCUCGAAAAGACAGAGUCUUGGGGAUUCCACAACUAGGCCAUGGCCAAGAAGAAGAUGGUGCAGGUUCUGUGGGCUUGUGAAGGAAUGGAAUGAGCUUCAUUUUCUUACCCAUUCAAAUCUAAGGAAGAAAUGAUAAAUGCUGAGUUUUGAACGAUGUAGUAGUAGUAGUAUGAAUUUGUGUAGGAGUUUUUGAUGGUGGGCAUUAAUGGAUGGAGUCAGAUGGAUUUUAAACCCAUUAAAUGUGAUUUAUGAGUCGAAUUGUGGGGAGGGUUUUGUUGGAUGAGGAAGGAAUUUAAGAAUGCAGGGGGUGGUAGUUGUUGCCUCGGUGGGGUUGAGAUUUCAUUUUUUAUGUGUUUCGUAAUCUUUAUAGGUCUGGCUACUGUGCUCGUGCUGAAUUUGAUGUAUUUAACUUGUUUUGAUUGGUGUAGUUUUUAUACACUCAAGGAAAACAUCAUUAUUAAUAAGUACUUAUUAACCAAUCAAAAUGAGUUAAAUAAGUGUUUAACAUGUGUACAUGACACACAAUACAAAAAACGAACUUAUAAAUAUCAGAAAUAACAAAAAAAAAAUUUGUCUUUUUUUCUAUCUCAUAAUUAAAACUCGAAAGUACAGUGCGAGUGACGUUGUUAAGUCUGUUUUGAUUCCAAAGAUAGGGCGAGGCUAAACCAACCUCCACAUCAAACAAUAAUUUUGUCGAGCAAAGCUGUAUGAUUUUUGGCAGAUAAUAAGCAAAAGCAACCUCUUUACAGAUUGUACAGUUAACCCCACCGCAAAAGAAACAAAUACUAGGAUAUUGUAUGCAUGCAAUAUAAAAUAAGAGCGGUUACUAACUCAUACUCCCUCUGUCCCAUUUAAUUGUAUACGUUUCUUUUCAACUGUUCGACACGCAUUUCAAUGCUCUUAUAAGACAUAGUUCCGUAACUUAUUUUUGAGAUUUUCUUUUUCUGAAUAAAAAUAUAACAUCCAAAUUUUAAUUCAGAAAAAGAAAAUUUUAAAAAUAAAUUACACAACUACACUUUACAGGAGCAUUAAAGUCCGUGCCGCGUCCCCGUCCCCCAAUGUAUACUACUCAGGGGGACGGAGGGAGUAACGUUUUGUUAUACAUACUUGUAUCAGUUGCAGAAAAGAAACGUUUGGAGGUCUUUUCGAAAAGACAAAUGCUUCAUGCAUUUUGUCUGAUUUAAUCAUAUUUUUAUUACGCACAGGUUCAUGUAAUUGUCUAAAUAUAAAUCACUAAAAUAAAAAUUAUGAGAAAUUAUAUCUAUAUGUCAUCACUCAUCUAGGACUCAUUCUUGCCCCCACUCAAUUCAUCCAGGGCAGUGGGCACGCUAGAGUCUCGCCAAGAGUGCGCACAAGUCCUGGACAUGCUCUAGAUCGACAGUCUUAAGAGCCAGAGCCAAAACUUGACCUCAUCCUAAUCCUACUAGGCCCCAUUUACACUAAUCCUACUAGGCCCCAUUUACACUUAGAUCUCGUUUAGGCCCAUCCCGGGUCCAUCCCCCAAACCCUUACCAUUUUACUUCAUCGCAUUUGUUUAUUGAAAUACGAGUCAUAAUUUUUUAGUUUAAUAAAAAUGAUAUCUUGCAUUAUCCGAAUUUAUAUAUAAUUUAUCAUUUAUAAGUUGUCUAAAUGUAAUUAUCAAUUAAUCGAUAAUAUCUUUCAACUUUGACAAGUAUUAAGAUUUUUGUUCUGCUUAUUAUUUAUAUUGCUGAACAUAAUGUCCUAUGAUUUAUAAAAAUAAUUGUUCUACGUUUUGAUAACAAUGUAUAUGUUGUAGAACAUCAGGUUGUCGAAUGUUUACAAAUAUUGUGGAACAAAAAAAAAUUAAAAUUUAGAUGACUGGGUUAUAUUUUAUCCAAUUAUGUACUCUAAUACUCCAAUAUAUUUUUGUGUAUUUCAUGAAACUUAACCAUAUAUGGUUAAUGUAAUAAGGAUAUUUCUUAAUCUCCGUGAAAAAAAGCCUAAAACGAUAUCUAAAAAGAAACGGAGGAAAUAUAUAGCCAGUUUUAAAUACAGUGUUGGAUCCUGAUCAUUAGUUUAAUCAUAGUCUAAUGAUUAUAUAUGAAUUCUAAAUUUAAAAAUAAUUCUAAUUUGAAACUCACUAUAUUAUAUAUGUGUGUAUGCAUGUAUGCAUAAUCAUAAUAUCUAAUUUAUAAAUUUAUUUAUAUCUGUAUUGAUUAGAUUGAGAUGAUUAAUUAAUUAAUAUUCCCUCCUUCCUACCAGGAUGUUUACGUUCACUGUUUGCACGUAUUUUGAGGCUCUUAUAAAAUAUAGUUCAAUAACAUUUUUUUUAAUUUUUUUUUUUUUGAAUAAAAGUUUAAACGUCAAACUUUUUUCAGGAUUUUUAAAAAAUAUAUAUAUAUAUAUAUAUAUAUAUAUAUAUAUAUAUAAUGUAAGUAUACUUUAUAGGAUCUUUAAAGUUUGUGCCAAAAAGUAACGUAAAGAACCUGGCGGGACGGAGGGAGUAUUAUUUAUUUGAUAAAUCACAGUUUUUAAUUUAUUAUAAAAAAGGUUUUUUUAUUUUUUGUUGGCCUGCACCGAACUAGAUUAUUUAGAUCCGGCCCGGUCCACAAUAGUACAUCAGUCUGAUUCGGUUUGACAAAUGACAUGUUAACUGUCUGUCUAGUUCUGGAUAGAAGGCUCAUCCCUGUAGUACACACCACCAACUUGGUGCUUAUACUAAGAGCAAGUCAAUGGUGAUCUUAAUAGGUGUAGAUAUGGUUAUAAUUUUAAAUCAAAAGGUGAUUUUUGGUGUUAUUUAGAAUUUAUGAUUCAAUGAUAAAUGCAAAAUAACACCAAACAUAUCUAAAUAAAACUAUAUUUUAAUUACACAAUCUUAAAGUACAUAAUUGUAUUUGUCACUGUUACUUUAAAACUUAUUGCACUUUGUAACCCCAGACUUUGACUCGUUAGCAAAUCAGACCCCACUUUAAAACGUGUUAGUUUGUAAUCUUAAGUUUCAAUUAGCUUUCAGUUUGUAACUCUAGCUCACACAUCAGUUAAAAACAGUCGUUAACUUUAACUGUUUGAGAGGUAACAGUGUGUAUAUUAGUUUCUAACAACUGAUUUACCCCUUAUGACCCCUCAUAUUUUAUGUAUUAUAUUUUUAAAAAAAUUCUGAACACACACAAUGAUUGUAAAAAAUAAAUUUUAGAAUAUGUAUUUAGAUUUAGAAUCUGAAGAUUUAUUUUUUUACAUAAACGAUGUAACUUAUUUUAAAAUAAAUACAUAUCUUAAAAAUUAUUUUAAAUUUCUUUACAUCGUUGUGUGUGUUCAGAAAUAAUUUCAAAAUAUAAUACAUAAACUUUAAGGGGUCACAGGUGGUAAAGUAGCUGUUAAAAAUUAAUAUACACACUGAUACCUCUCAAACAGUUAAAGUUAACAGUUGAUUUUAACGGAUGUGUGGGUCAGGGUUACAAACUGAAAGAUAAUUGAAAUUUAGGGUUACAAACCACCACGUUUUAAAGUGUGGGGUCUGAUUUGCUAAUGGGUCAAAGUCUGGGGUUACAAAGUGCAAUAAGCUCAUUACUUCAUUAAUUAAUGCAUUUUGACACUUACAUGUUUAUGUGACAAUUAUAACACCAUGUAUACUUGGUUCUAUAUAUGAAAUCAAGUGUAGCAUUUUGCUAUUUUACAUUUAAGUUUAACAUCCCAUUAGAGUUGAGUUUUUUGGGUUUGGUGCUAUAUUAUAGCAAGAGCACCUAUUUUAGCACCCCGAAAGAACAUACCCUCCAGGGUUAAAACAAAACAAUAACUUAAAACAAUAAAACAAAACAAUAACUUAAAACAAUAAUUUAUGAGUUGUGAUUAUGUGAUGUAAUAAGUUCUUAAUUUAAAUUGUCUAUUUAAAUAAUUUAUAUGAUAAAUGAUUUAUGAGUUAUUAUAAAUAUAACAAAAAAAAACAAAUUUUGAUAGGUUAUUUAUUUUUAAAUUUUGAAAUUGACUAUUAUUAAAAAAUUAUAAAAUAAGAAAUGAUAAAAAAAAGUACAUCCUACCAAUUUGUGAUUUUCAACUGAUUUCUUAUUAUUUUAAUUCUAGAUGAGUUUCAGACUUAUUAUGGAAUGAGAGACUUUUCGAUUUAAAAUUGAAAAAGCUUAAAAGCCAUUCAAAAACGCGUUAAGUUUGUUUUUGCUGCAGAAUGUUUGAUAUUAAUAAUAAAAAAAAAAACUAUGCAGAUUUGACCAAGAAGAAAAAUAAGUUGUUUUUUGCGGGUAUACAAACGGAGAACUGGCAAACGGAUAGAAUAAAAUAUACAACUGAAAGGACAUGGGUAGCAAUAAGUUUAUUCUUUUGAUAUUUAUAAGUAAACAAAUAGUCCACUUGUGUAAAAUUUUACAAACAAUUCCGUUGACUCUUGUUAAUUAGUACGGGUUUCGAAUUUAGUAAAAUAUUCAAUUCGGUUGGAAGUUGGAACAUCACAAUUUGAUUAUGGAUAAACAGAGUACCGGUUUAUUCUUCACUAUAAAGCGUACUUUGGGGUUCUUUGGUUCGAAGAGUAGUAUCGGGUUGGAAUGAGGAAUCGGGUUAAGCUGGUAUGGGUUUGAGGUAUCAUAUCUGAUAUCAUGUAUUUGGUUGAGUGCUGGAAUCAAUAUAUGCAAUUUUUGUAAAACAUAAGUUAUUAAUUUAUAUUAAUUGAAAAAAUUAAUAAAAUUAUUAUUGUUAUAUAUUUUUGCAUCAUUGAUUUAAUUUUGUAUAAAACAUUAAUAUUUGAUUACUUAAAUAGAGACAAAAAAAUUAAAAAUGAAUGGAUACCCAUACCUCCAUCUCAUACCCACCUCCUCACCUAGGUAUCAAAAACUCAUACCUUGGGGGUUUAAGGUAUGAGUUUGAGAUUAUAUUUUCACUAACCAAACACCAGGUAUGGGUUUGGAAUGGACAAACUCUAUAUCUGAUUCCACAUACCCAUGAACCAAACGACCCCUAAACUUGGAUGACCGGUGAUUUGUGUCCUGCAGUCCUGUUUCAGCUUUCAGGUGAACUCCAUCAACAAUUUAGCACGAGAAGAUCAUACUCCCUCCGUCUCGGUAUAGCACUUUUACUUUUGACUAGUCAAAUUUAUAUUUUGACUAAAAUUUAUAAAUAUUAUAUAACUAAAAAAAAUUAAAAAAAAUAUCAACAAAAGUUAUAUCAAAUUUAUUUUAAUAUGUAAUUUUUUAUUUUGUAAAACAAUAAAUAAAUAUUUCUUAAUAAUUGGUCAAAUAUUAGUCAGUUUUGUUGGGCCGCGCAACACCCGUGAACUCCGCAUUAGUAUGAUAUUGUCCGCUCUGGGCCGUGGCCAAGCCCGCACGGAUUUACUUUCGGGCUCCUCCCAAAAGGCCUCAUACUAAUGGAGUUCUUUGGCUGCUUAUAUUCAAGAUAAAUCUUCUUUAUCUUUCCGAUGUGGGACUUGGGUUGAACCCACUCAACAAUCUCCCCUCAAUCCAAGAACCACCAAUCUUGUGACCCUUGUACCGCCGCUCCUCAUCUUGCGGGACACGCCGUCCGACCACCUUUGUCGGAAAGAUUUUCGACACAAGCCGUCCAAGACCUCCAAUCGCAGUUCUGGAGAGCCUCCCCCACAUCACACAACUACAGCCCGCAAACCCGGGAUCAACUUCUGAACCUCGCUCUGAUACCACUUGUUAGGAUCGCAUCCACUAUAGAUUGACGUUAAUCAAACACAAUAACAAGCACGAAAGUAAAGAACACAAACAAUUAACGUGGAAGCCGCUCAAGGGAGGGUAAAACCACCAAUCCACUAAAUAUGAAUGUAUUACAAGAUUGGAGUCGCUCCCCCACUCAACACUCUUGAAUACAAACCCCUCAACUUGAUCACAAAAGUUCUCUCUUGUGUAUCUCUCACACAACUCUCUAACUUUUGCAAUUCAAGUUGAGGGGUUUGUAUUCAAGAGUGUUGAGUGGGGGAACGACUCCAAUCUUGUAAUACAUUCAUAUUUAGUGGAUUGGUGGUUUUACCCUCCCUUGAGGGGUAAUUUCCACGUUAAUUGUUUGUGUUCUUUACUUUCGUGCUUGUUAUUGUGUUUGAUUAACGUCAAUCUAUAGUGGAUGCGAUCCUAACAAGUGGUAUCAGAGCGAGGUUCAGAAGUUGAUCCCGGGGUUGCGGGCUGUAGUUGUGUGAUGUGGGGGAGGCUCUCCAGAACUGCGAUUGGAGGUCUUGGACGGCUUGUGUCGAAAGUCUUUCCGACAAAGGUGGUCGGACGGCGUGUCCCGCAAGAUGAGGAGCGGCGGUACAAGGGUCACAAGAUUGGUGGUUCUUGGAUUGAGGGGAGAUUGUUGAGUGGGUUCAACCCACGUCGCACAUCGGAAAGAUAAAUCUUCUUUAUCUUUCCGAUGUGGGACUUGGGUUGAACCCACUCAACAAGUUUGACUCUUCGAAAAGCAAAAAAGACUUAUGAAAUUAUGAAAUGAGAGAGUCGGAGUAUUUGUUUCGGUGCUUUGGUCAUGUGUGUAUAUAUGUCUAAUAUCGUCCGUGAUUGUCUAAUUUAAGUAAAACUAUUUUUGAUGUUAAAAAAAUAUUUUAUUGUUUAAGAUUGAUUCUUUAUCUCAUUUUGAAUUUAAUAAAAUCUCUCGAAUUUCUAGUUAUUUAAAUCAAAUAUAUUUUUUAAUCUAACUUCAUAUCAAGUGUCUCAUAUUUUCACUUUUUGAAAAUACAAAUAUUAUAGCUUUAUUGUCACUCCCUCUGUCCCAUUUAAUUCUAUACGUUUCUUUUUCACUGCUCGACACGCACUUCAAUACUCUUAUAAAAUAUAGUUCUAUAACUUAUUUUUAAAAUUUUCUUUUUCUGAAUAAAAAUAUAACAUUCAAACUUUUAUUCAAAAAAAAACAAAAUUAAAAAUAAAUUAUACAACUAUACUUUACAAGAGCAUUAAAGUCCGUGCCGCGUCCCCGUCCCCCAAUGUAUAUAACUCAGAGGAACGGAGAGAGUAUGUAUUUAGCAUAAAUGAUCAAAGUGUUAUUUUAUUUUAGUUGAAGAUAUUAAACACCAAUAAAAUAGAGAGUAUUAGUUUUUAUUUUAUAAUAUAUUUUUCAAGUUACUCUUGGUGUUCGUAGUUGACAAUUUCAAACUAAUCAUCCAACACUCUCCGAUUCGGUCUUUUUAUAUGUUUAUUUUGAUUUUCAAAAAUUCAAGUUAAUCAAUUUUUAAUUUAGUAUUAGAAAUUAUAUAUUUAUUAAUUCUAAAAUCUGAAAGUUGCGUAUUAAAAUAAAUUAAAUAUAUUUAACACAAAAAAAAUAUUAAAUAUAUUUUCUAAUAAUAUAAUAAUAAUUAUUAUUUUCAAUUAUAUGAAAUGUGAAUUUAUGUCAAAGUGCAGCUGGUUAGAAAUCAAAAUGGGCAUGUAAAAACGGAGGGAGUAAUAUACGGUCAUUUAAAUUAAUAUAUUGAGAUUUUUGUUGAAUUUUCUUUUAUUAGAAUUUAGGAGGGCGACGACUAAUCCAAAUUUACAAGAUUUUAAGUGUUCAACUUAUUUCAAAACUUCAAAAUUAAUUUUGCUCUUUUCUUGUAGCUACACAUUACAUGUUCUUGUAUGUAUCUUUACCAAACACAACUUCUAUUGCUCAUUAAAAAAAUGAAUGAACAAGUCAAUUUUCCAACAGAACACAAAAAAGAUGACAUAAAACCCAAAAUUGGCACACCACACCAAAGCAGUUUAACUGAAAAGUGAAAAUAUACAUGUACAAUGCUGUUUGCUUCCUAAAAAUCUCAUGAAAUGAUCAUAAUUAAGAAAUCCCUAUACUGUUAUCCUAUAUAUUCCCACUAGAAAUUUCAAAAAGAAAAUCAUGGAAAGGAAGAAAAUAAACCAAAAGGGCAAAAGCCAUAAGACAAAAGAAAGAGGCUAGUCAGGAUUCUUACAGGCAGAUAUCAACAAAGUGAAGCCAGCCUUUUCUUCUUCAUUCUGCUCCACCUUGCUUUCCUCUAACCACAACCUACUUUCCAUUCCACUCCUUGGCCUAAACAUGAAUAUUGCAUACCCAGAUUUCGGAUUGAAGAACCAGUCAUGCACAUCCCACAUCAUAUCCACUAAACAACCAUCGAUGAAUAUUAUUUGGUUACCGCGGAAAUUCCAUUGUAAUCUUUUUACUUGGACCACAUUUUUGUCAUCAAUACUGACUGAUAGUAUUGAGUUCUUCUGGCCUUUUUCUUGUACAAUGCACUUGAUCAGAAUGUCGUGGCGGGUGCCUGUAGUGAAGAAUUGUGCCUUAGUUGAGCACGCUGCACCCCCUGAAAAAUGUUCGCUUCGCGAUACAAAUGAAAAUUUGGACAUGGGCACAUUGCACAUAAGUUUCUUGACUUCAGGCUCUUGCUCCAUGUCUCCUAGGAGUAAACUCAACUCGUAAUUGACAAAAACCGCGAUAUAAAAGCCACGGACAGGCUCAGGGCCAGCAUCAUACUUGGCAAAAGAAAGAUCCCAGAAAAUUUCGACCUUGGAAUUUGUUGACUUAAAACUUUUUGUGCCUUUGAUGUUAUGCAGGUAGAGACGUCUGGUGUGGAAUUUAAAAGGCGACGACGGGUCUUGAACGAGGGUGACCGUGAAGCCUCGGUCCAUGAGGCUACUGCACCAGGUGAGGCUGAUCAGGAGCUGGUGUUGGGAACAUAGCUUGACUCUGUAGAUGCAUGUGACUGCGUCUUGAAUUGAAGGGAUCAUAUUGGGUGAAAAUGUUGCAUGAUUGGAUGGUCCAGAGCAAUAUGAAUUGGAAACUUUGAUGGCAUGUUCACUGUAACAAGUUGCUAUGCUUCUCAUCUUUAGACUUGCCUAGAAAACAAUAGAACACAAGUUUGCCUUGGAAGCUGACAAGAAAAUGGGAGAAACAGAGAGAGAGAGAGGCAGAGGGAGAGAGAGAGGUUGUUAUUUUUAUGCUUGGCCUUUGGUAGUAAAAAUGGAGACGUUGAAGAUUAUAAGAGACUGGUUCAGUGUCCCUGGAUUACAAUUCCUGAACCGUUUGUCCUUUCAUUUACUCCCUCCGUUUCAUAAUACAUGUCCACUUUUGAACAAAUUACACAUAUAAAAAAAAACUAACUUUUGUUGAAAUUUUUCAUUUAUUAUUGUAUUUAUUGCAUUGACCAAGUAUAAUAUGUGGCAUAUAUUUGAUGUUAGAAAUAUAAUUUAGUAAGAUGUGGUAUAAAACUCAUCUUGGAAAUACAAAUAUCGACUACACUCCAUUAAAAAUUGAAAUGGACAAGUAAUUUGAAACAAUUUUUUGUUCUCAAUAGUGGACAUGUAAUAUGAAACAGAGGGAGUAUGAGUUAUGCAAAUCGCAUUUCUUUAGUUUGGUCAAUUACAUUUUUUUUAUCUAAAUCCUAGAUAAUUGCAUAAUACAUUUUAAAUCUUUUUAAUUCAUUUUUGUCUAUUUUGACUUAUCAUGAUCUAAAUCAAAAAUAUGAAAUAUAUUUAAAAAUUAACUCAAUUAUAAUGCUUUUAAGUCUAUUUUGCUAAAACGAAAUUGAUCCUAGCUAGAGUGAUGCAUUUUGUUAUUAACUUUUCUUUAUUAUGUAACUUCUGAACUCAUAUUUAUAGCUAACUAAUGUAUCAAAUACUACAUUCCUGGGCAAUUAAAACAUUACUAUUGAGUAUUAUCAAUUGGUUCAAACAAAAGCUUUACUUCUCUUCUAAUAUCAAUUAUGCAAGUGGGUUGGGUGAAUACGAAAAUAUGUUACAUGGUUUGGGUCCUCUUAUUUCCGAAAAAUAAUAUGUAAAUAUGAACAUUUUUCAUAAAAUAAGUUCUUAUAUUUGUAACCAUGGCCAAACAUGCCUAAUACAAACGAAAUAAUAAUUUCCAGACCCCUGAAAAACUUGAGAGACAAAAUUAUUUCUUCUAUCAUUUCUGUUAACAUGAAUUAUUCUUUUUCAUCAAAAAAAACCGGAGAACAUGUAUAGUAAGUCGCAAUCACAGGAGCGUAUUAUGAAAAAUCUGUAAAGUGUCAGUUAAAAGAAGGAGUUAUUAACCAAAAAACUCAAUCAACUUGUCAAUUUUUUGCCAAAAAACCUUUAAACUUCUGUUUUUUUUAACAACCCCAAUAAACUUUAUUAAAAGUAUAAAAGUAAAUACAAAAUAAACCAUGGUUAAAUCUACCAAUCUGAUUUGUCAUGUAUCUUUCACUGAUUUGUAUUUUUUUAUACACGUGUGUGCCACAUAGCGCCUAGUCAUUAAUAGGAAUAAUUUAUAAUAUGAUAUUUGUUAGUUUAGAUUUAAAAAAUAAAAUGAAAACAAGUGAAUAUGUGUGAUAUUGGCAUAUUAUUAUAAUGGCUGAGGUUGAUGUUCGAAAUAAAUUAAUGGGGUUAUUAGAGGGUGUGUGAAAAGAUUAGCAGAUGGGGUGUUAUUUCAGACGUCAUUCAACACAAAAUUAAAGAGAUGGAAUAGCUUUUUAUGUUUUCCCGAGUUCCGAGGUUUGGUUGGGGUGUUUUAGUCUAAUUUUUAUAGAGUUUAGGGGGUGUUUGUUUGGAGUUACUGGGGACUAUUGAUUGGACAGAGUAUAUGGUUGAAUAUUUGUUUGUAUUUGGUGGAUUGUUUGUGCUAAUUGGUAAAAAUACCUCUUACUGAAUUCAGAGUUCCAACUCUGCUGCUUGAUGUGCUGCAAGGCUGCACCUGAAACUUGGUUAAUUGUUUAUGCUCGAUUAGCUAAGUAAAAAUUUCACACAUUAAUAUACACCAUAAGAUACAUAUUUUCCACACAGAAAAUCAACCACGUAGAAACAAGGUAGAUGAAAUGCCUGUCACGAGCCUUCAGUUGGAAUAACUAUGACGACAGAGCAAUUCUCAGUCUGUUCAUUGUUUGAAUGAGAGCAUGGUACUUCACUGUCUUAAUGAGCGGUUGAUCAAACAUCUUAAAGCUGAUUUUAGUGGUGCUGAUAUUUUUCAGUUUUUUUUGAUUAAUUAUAAUCAAUUUGCCACAUAAUACGUGAUGAUCAUGGUUAGUCCACAUGAGUUAUAAGUAACUCUAGUUAAAUCUUUUUCCAAGAUUUAAUAAAGUUUAUUGGGGUUAUUGGUGAAAAAAAGGUUUAAAGGUUUUUUGGCAAAAAAAUGACAAGUUAAUUGGGUUUUUUGGUUAAUAACUCUUAAAAGAAGGAUGAUAUAGGUGCAACAAACUUGCUGCUACAAUUCGACUUUCUGACAGAAUUAACUCAAAUGGUUUAGAGUUGGUAAUGAAUUGUGUGCUAAUUAAGUCUGAGAUUAGUUAGGAUAAGAUAGAUGGAUAUCGCCAAAUAAGGAGAAUCCAUGGGAUGCUAGCUUGUACUCCCUCCGUCCCCCUGAAUUGUAUACAUUGGGAGACGGGGACGCGGCACGGACUUUAAUGCUCCUGUAAAGUGUAGUUGUGUAAUUUAUUUUUAAAAUUUUCUUUUUCUGAAUUAAAGUUUGGAUGUUAUAUUUUUAUUCAGAAAAAGAAAAUCUCAAAAAUAAGUUACAGAACUAUAUUUGAUAAGAGCAAUGAAAUGCGUGUCGAACAGUUGAAAAGAAGCGUAUACAAUUAAAUGGGACAGAGGGAGUAUUACUUAACAUGUGCACUGAAAGGAUGAUUCAUUGUCAAAGUAAUUUGCAUUAGGAAGGGAUUCCACCAACUGUAACCAAAAACUGCCUAUCUGUUUCCUUGCUCUCAUUUUUGUUUCAAUUUUUUUUUUUAAUUUUUUGCUUCGAUAUAAUCUUAUCACUUGGAUGGAAUGGAAUAAAAGAGAAUAGAAUGAAAUUUGAAUUCUAAAUUGGGGUUGAUCGAAGAAAAUGUAUAUAAUUUUCAUUCCUUGUGGACUAUUUUAACUAGAACUCUAACCCACGUGUUUCUGAAAGAAUAUCCAUUCCACUUUUUAAUUAUGUUUUCUUACGAUCUUUUUAGACUAGCUCCUAUUCAGUCACUAUAUUCUCAUACAUUCUUCGUCUCUUAUGAACUUUUUUAUAAUUUUUCAUUCCAUUCCAUCCCAGGCAACACGACCUAAUAUUAUCAGUGCUCGCAUCAUGGAAAGCGACCGUGUCACGUUUAUUAGCUCUCAAACCAUUAUUCAUGUGCAAUUUAAGUUUAGCCUCCAUGAAAACUUGUAGGGUUCUUACUCAUGCUAACAUACUGAGUGCUCAGGGUCCCUCGUGCUUCCUCCUCUUAGAAGCUCAGUCCAAAGGCUCUCCUUCCCCACGCACGCCCACACCCACACACAGUUUUAUUUUAUUGUAUAAAAUUUGUUUAUCGCGAUAAUAACAACUUAAAUCACCAUCAUAUGUUUGUUGCAGUUUGAUUUUAUGUCCCUUCUCAGAAGAUAUAACACAUUUAAUGUGAAAUGCAACACUAAUGUGUGAUGUUUUAGUAUACAAAAGUCAUCUAAGUAGUGCUUUUGAGUGUGUGGGUGAUGGCAGUUGGUUUUUAUAGUUAGUCAGUUAUAGACUACAUUGGAGUUACAAAAGCAUUUAACAUAUGAUAGUUAAAGGAAGAUCAUAAACCAACAUAGAAGCUUCCAAUGUCAGCAUCAAUUUAGAUAAAAAGAUGUCAUUUAAUCAGCAAGUUUCUUUUGUCUGGCGAUCGACUCCUUGCUCUGUAUCUGCAUAUAAAUCAGUUGCAGUAAUAAUUUCAUAUACUUAUAGGAUGUAUAAUAUAUGCAAUGCUAGGAGAAAACAGGUGAACAUAGAAAAAUUCUGUCACCAAUAAUGAUGACGGCAGAGUGCAACCAAAGCUUGCAGUGGAUCUAAUAAACAGACCUUGUACAGAAACAAGUGAGUGGAUCAUUAUUUUUGUCCAUGGCCGGGGCAGAAUGAUAGCAGGGAAGAUGGAUACAGGAUAUAUAGGAGAUCAAUUUGGCAACUGGACAUGUUAAAAAACAGAGGAAAUAAUAGUAUCCGAGUUGCAUGAUCUUUUUCAGAAUUUGUAACAUGAUUUAUUUUUGUUGCAGAUGGAUGACUAUGAUUAGCAGCAAGCGCCAGUAAUUAAUAAUAAGCAAUGCGAACUUAUGAAACAGCUUCCAGUAGCUUUUAAAGUUCUUCUGUUCAUUGAAAUCUUUCAGCCUAUCUCGCAAAGUUACAAUGCAGCAUUAAGAGGCAAGUCUUUCAGCAUAAAGUCGUACGCACAGUUUCACCUCCACUCACUGAAUAAAAUCUUACUCGAUUAUCUUUUAACUACCCCUCCAGAUUUAGUUUUGUAUGUCAAUAAGCCAACAAAGAUCUUACAGGAGACACGAGAGAAUGAUAGCGUCUCUCCAUCCUUUCAGAAUACAAGUGCUGAAAACAUCACUGAGGAAUGAAUGAGAAGCAAGCAGGUACUUUUCACUUAUAAGUGGAGAGACUACUUAACAUCCAGCAUAUACACAUUCAUAACUAAAAAUGUUAUAUGCUCUCAUUGCCUUUAAUAGGCAACAUACCAAAACUAGAACAAAAAGAACAAAUCCACAGACACAUAUUGCAACCAAAGGAAAUCAUGAGGAUGCAAGGAUUUCUUUAACCAGCUCAUCAAUUUCUGUCCCAUAUGUGCGGGGAAUAUAUUCUUCCCCUAUAUCACAGCAACUUAAUGUCGAAAUUCCACCAACUUGCAAGCUUGUAAUUAUACAGAUUUGUAAGUUUUUUGAAACAGGCAGUUUAAUAACGUAAUGCAGCAUGGCAAUUGUUUUUGUGUAAAUGACAAAAGGAUUAUAAAACUUUAGGUACUAACUGAAACAUGAAUUGAGUAAGAAGAUCAUUCCAUCUAACAAUGCAGGGCAAGUGUCAUUUUUAUGAUGAUCUGGUAGUUGGUUUUGCAACGGUUAUAUCCAGACUCCUGUGUGAUGAGAUAUCUGAACAACCAAGUAUAUUCUCCAGCCAACAGACUGCAUACCUGAAUUGAUUAGCUUAGCUUUCUAUUACAUUAUUUUAUGGCAUUACUGUAAAACAGAAAUUAAGAGGAUCUAAAUGAUGGUGUUUGUUGCAUCACUGUAGCUUGGGCAACUAAGAACUAGGCUCAGAUAAAUGUGAUUUGUAUAAAUUUAGCUGACUCAAGUCCCAAAUCUAAACUCAUAUAAAAUCAGGACAAGCUCCACCAGCAUGCUACAAUGUCAAUAUUAUUAUUAAUUACACACAAAUAUAAUCCAGUUUUCCUCCAUUUUAUUAAAAUUUCACAGUUAUUUGCUUAAUAUUUUUUGAAAGUUGUUAGUUUAUGAUAAUCUAACUUUUAUUUUUUGAAAGUUGUUAGUUUAUGAUAAUCUAACUUUGGAAAUAGUAUAAAUGUGUCCAUAUUAAAAUUAGUAUAAAAAUUGCAUUCAACAAAAUGUGGACAAAUAUCAUGAAACAUUUUAUUUUGACAAACAAAACUAUUAAAAUGAGAACUUAACAUCAGACAUAUCCCUCUUCACUUGCAUGUCUUGUGUUGGGGUUAGCCCCAAAUUUUUGAAUAAGUUAAGAAUUCUAAUUUGAGAAUUUAUCUUAUGUAUUACUCCUUUUGUCCCACCAGGUUCUUUAUGUUAUUUUUUGGCACGCAUUUUGAAACUCCUAUAAAAUAUACUCACAUAAUAUAUUUUAAAAAAUUCCUAAAAAAGUUUGACGUUUUAACUUUAUUCAAAAAAAUAAAUUAAAAAUCUGUUAUAGAACUAUAUUUUACCAGAGGCCCAAAAUACGUGCGUAAACAAUAUAGCGGGACAGAAGUAGUAUCUGUCGAUUAUAUAUUCUCUAUCUAUCUAUCUACUAUUAUAUUACGACCAUCUCCAACCCGAAAAACUCUUAGCUAAAAUUGUCUAUAUGGCAUAUAGGUGACAUCUAGAUGACAUUUAUAGAGAUUAUCUACAAAUUAUAAAACUUCAAACCCUCUAUCCUUUAGCAAAAAAAUAUAGUUGAUUAUAUUUGUCGAACCAAAUGAAGCCUUUAGGUAUACUGUAAUUUUAGACAAGCACAAUUAUAAAUAAUCCCGUUGGAGCAUAUAUAUGUCACCUUAAAAAAAAUUUAGAUAAUUAAUUUAGCCAGCCAUUAUACAUAUAGAUGCUCUACUAAAUACUAAUAGCCUAACACGGUGCUAGUUGAGCAAGAAAAAGGUUGAGACCUUUUUAUCAACUGAAAAGAUUUUUUUGACCCGCUAGAUUGAGAUGAAAAGAGUGAGAAGUGAAGGUAGCUGAAAACAAAUGAACUUUCACUUGUAAAUUGCAUCCCACCUUUGGAAUUAAAAUUUGAAGUAAAAUUAUGUUAUAAUUACAUUUUUAUUUGCUUUCAUGUCUUCGAAAAACUCAUAAACAACGACAGUGAAAAUUAUAUUAUAUAAUUUUAAUUCCUUUUCACUAAAGUGUGGGGAGCAGGACGUCACGGAGUCUCCGGCUGUGUUUCUUUUUUGCCGCGCAAAGACUGGGUCGGCAUGGGUGAAUCAAUAGCGACCUCCAUGAUUAUGAGACAAUUAAAUCCACGUUACACGAAAUUAGUUGAGAUAUCUAAAUCCAAGUCCGAACUAGCUCAGUUCCACGUCGCCCCAGCCGGGUCAAAACUCCAAUGUAAGCCUUUACACUGCAGACACUAUACAGUCAAUACCCAACUCUCACCUUCUCCGACUCUUCGCCUGAUUUUACAAUCGUAACUAUCCGACUAUCAGAAACAGUCAUUUCAAUUCGUGAAUGUUAUGAAUCCGAUAUAGCUUACAUAUCAAAUUCUAAAUUUUUGUCAGAAGUUUGAGAAUCAGGUUUCGAGUAGGUGACCCAGAGAAGUUUCGUAUAUUUAUAUGUAUCAGGAUCAUUAUGGAUGAACAUAUGAAUUCCAUGAUUGUUCCAGGUAAUUGCACGCCCCUUUUCAAUUUUUUUCUUUUAUUUUGUUUGUUUACCUCCUGGUUUGUGUGUUCUUAUCAAAGUCUGGAUUUUUGUUUGUCAAAUUUGUAACCUGUAAUAUUUUAGGGUUUAAUGAAUUAAUUUAAUUAGUGGAAAUUGGAAAUUUAUUAAUGUAAAUUAGUGUUUAGUGUAAUUUUGUUCUUGGGCGAGUUAGAAUUCUCUGUUUUGUAAAAAACAGGUUCGAAUUUUGUAAUCUUUAUACAUCUACAUAGCCUCCUUCUCUAAAGUUCCUUAUAGCUGAUUUUAAAUCUUAAAAUAAAAAGUGUAAACAAUUGACCUUUGCAACUUGGAUAGCAAUGUAUUAUUCAUAUAAUAGGUUCAUGAAUAUUAAAAUAAAAAUUGGAUAUCUCUUUGAUCUACAUUCGCCUUUCUUAGUAUUUGAUACCAUAUACGCAUAGCCAGUUGAGCAACAUGCAUGCGAAACCUAAAUACCACCAAUUUUUGUUGUUUUUGGCCUCAAAGUUCUCACAAAUAUUUCACGUUGCAGAGCUAAACCAUAGUAUCACUUUACCUUCUUUUUUUCAUUUAUAAAUGAUGUAUAUUUGUCUAAGCCUAUGGAUAGCUAACUCCCGAAUAGAAAUUUAAAAAAUUAAUUCAUAGGACUAGGAACAACACCCGUGCCUUGCACGGGUUUUAGGGCUAGUUAUUAUAAAUAUAAUGCUGCAACAUGAAUUUUGGUAAGCCAAUUAAAUCGUGUCAAAUUAUAGUCUUAUCCUUUCUUAUUUAUUUAUCUUAAUCUAUAAAUAGAUAAAUACUCCUCCCUUUUUAGUUGGAUGAUUACUAUCACUGCCCUUCUUCAGCCUUCUAAUUACGUUUCUUGCCAUUAAAUUUCAAUUUUUCUUUUUCAAGGCGCACGUGUACUGCCAUCCAGCACGUGUUUUUGUUUCCAAAUCACUGACGCGUGCUACAUUUUGCUUUAAUAUGCUGAGAAAUGGCGGGUUGAACUGCUGGGUAAUGUACACACUGCUGGAUAAUGCUUAUAUUCAAAUACAAGUCAAUGUUAUGUCCUUCUAAUCUCCCAAAACACUAUGUUUGCAUUUUGAAUUUGAAUUUGAAAAAGAAAGAGCCCAUUUUGCUCUGCAUUCUUUCAAGGCGAUACAGUGAUUAUUUACCCUUGAGCUCCACAAAUUCAUGGACGAUGUAAGUUUCUAAUGUUAGUUUUGAUUCUGCUCCACAUGUUAUCUUCCUGGCAUGAUUUUUUUUUUUGGAAUAUGCUCUUAUACACAAAUUUCCCAUGUCUAUGUUAAGUAUUUCAGAUGGAAGAGGGAUGUCCUCUACCGUCUGUUGCUGCUUCUUCAAACAGGACUCGAAAGGGUGAGAGAUUUAUUUUGAAUUUUGCUUGAAUUUCUGAUGUCCAUCAUCUGUUUGAUUUAAUUACAAAGUUAGCCCAGAGAGAUUCACUAAUAUGGUCUAAGUUUGAUGACUAAUUAUUGUUGUUCGAUUGUUUCAGGUUUAUUUUGUUAUGAUUUGAAGAUCUUUAAGUGUUUGGGAAGAAAGUUUGCAUAUUUGUUGCUUAUGAGUGAGAUUGGUUUUUUGUCUCAGUAUUACUCAUAAGAUGUUUGAUAGAUAGUCGGAAAGAUGUUUAGGUAAUAUUUGCAGGCUUGUGAUAUUUUCUUUCUCUAAUUUUUGAAUUUGUUUCCAUACUCUCUAAUCCUGCAUUUUAUUUUGAUUUUGUUUCUUGAUUAAGUUACUAAAAGUUUAUGGUUGGGAUAUGUUUAUUCAUUCUUAAUCUUGAGUCAAAAUUGCUAUGUAGUCAUUAUGAUAUUAGGCUAGCCAACAUAUAGCAAGAUGAAUGGGAUGGUGCAUCAGCCUCAAAUUAUUCUGUAUUAUGGUUUAAAGAAUCAUAGUUACCAUACUUGAAACUUGCCCUUAUCAGAUACAGUACUUGCUACCUCUACCGAAAGAAGCUUGAAUGGUGUAACAAUUUUUCUUUACUUGAGGAAAGCUUCUGACAUGAUGAAAGUACUUUUCUGGAGAGACAGAAGGUAGUAAACUCCUACUCUCAUCACUGUCAAUUAAGUUUGCGUCAGAUUUGUAGUGUAUUCCGGGCAGACCACAAUCUAUGCUCACAAAGCCUGAUAGAAUUUAAACAAUAUAAGACAUGUAGUUAAGUAUAUAUAAACAUGUGUUUGCUAAGUGUUUGUAGUACAUUUUGGAAAGAUUUAAGCCUGGUUCUUGUGCAUGACAAGCACGACUCGAUAAAAUGAAUAUCUGAGAACAAGUGCAAAUAGUAAUAAAGCUGCAGUAAUUUGAUAACAUCUCUUUCUCGCUAUAUAAUCAAUUUCUGUAAAUAAAUGAAGUGUUUCAUAUCCAUAAUAUGGUAGUUCAACACUUAAGCACACAUGUAUUUUUUCCAAUUUUUAAGAUUAAAAAUAUAAAAUAGAUAAAAUUUCCGACCCACAAUAUGGUUAAGUAGUUGAGUAGUUGAUAUGAAGACUUUGCUGGGGGGUAAAAUGGUGGCUAUCCUUUCACAUUAAGCAUAAGGUGAAAUCUGCAGUACUAUUGUUGUCCUAAUAAAAGCUCUUAAUUUAUCUUUUUCUUAUUACAUGUGCGUUUCAUUUAGCGGGAUGCCCAGUAGAUUAUUACACAUGAAUUCCGGCCAAAUCACUCAUUUUUCACUCAUUUAUUGUGCCAGCUAUAACAGUUUAUCAGCAUUCACAGAUGUAGUACAACUGGCAACUAAACAUUUUCUGAUGACAAAUUUACAUAUAAUUAUUACAUUUACCAGGGGAGAUGAUAAUUGGCCCAUCAAAGGUUCUCUUCAUAAAUGAAACCUCCAAUGGCUUAGAUAGUUCAAGCACCUUUCAGAUUGUUAAAUGUCUCCAGCAGUUGACACACAUAACAGAAUCAACCACUCUGAUUUCACUUCUUCAGCCAGCACCGGAGACAUUUGAUUUGUUUGACGACAUUAUCUUGAUGUCUGAGGGACCGACUGUAUACCACAGGCCUCGUGAUAAUGUUAUACAGUUCUUCGAGAAGUGUGGUUUCUGAUGUCCAGCAAGGAAAGGCGUUGCUGACUUCCUGCAAGAAGUGUGUUAGUUAUUACAAUUGAGAAAUUCGCUUUCAUGCUUAAAAUUGGUUGUGUCGCAGUAAUUAUUCUUUUGCCAUAAUACUUAUACUGCAAUGUCAACUUCGACAGUCACAUCUCUGCAGGUAAUAUCUGAGAAGGAUCAAGCACCAUAUUGGCACCCUGAUAAUCAACCUAUUUAUGUCAGUGUGAAGGAGUUUGCAAGAAAAUUAAGGAAUCCAGUUUAGGACAGAAUUUGCACGAAGAUCUCUUUCGGAAUACUGAAACGGAUGUGAUCCAGAUUCUUUAGUUAAUUGCUGACUGUUUUUUGUAUAUUUUUUCCGUUAUGUGUAUUUAUGGACUCUUUCAUUCUUUGUGCUUUGAUUGAGUUUGACGACAUUAUCUUGAUGUCUGAGGGACCGACUGUAUACCACGGGCCUCGUGAUAAUGUUAUACAGUUCUUCGAGAAGUGUGGUUUCUGAUGUCCAGCAAGGAAAGGCAUUGCUGACUUCCUGCAAGAAGCGUGUUAGUUAUUACAACUGAGAAAUUCGCUUUCAUGCUUAAAAUUGGUUGUGUCGCAGUAAUUAUUCUUUUGCCAUAGUACUUAUACUGCAAUGUCAACUUCGACAGUCACAUAUCUGCAGGUAAUAUCUGAGAAGGAUCAAGCACAAUAUUGGCACCCUGAUAAUCAACCUAUUUAUGUCAGUGUGAAGGAGUUUGCAAGAAAAUUAAGGAAUCCAGUUUAGGACAGAAUUUGCACGAAGAUCUCUUUCGGAAUAUUGAAACGGAUGUGAUCCAGAUUCUUUAGGUAAUUGCUGACUGUUUUUUGUAUAUUUUUUCCGUUAUCUGUAUUAAUGGACUCUUUCAUUCUUUGUGCUUUGAUUGAGUUUCUAUUUUGAUUUUAUAUUUUCUAGCGAGCAAUGUUGAUAAUGAUUUUAUAAACUAUAUUAGGAUGAAAGUAAGGUCCAGACAAUGUUGCCGUUGUCAAAUAAGUAUGCUCUGCAUCCAUGGCGUCUCACACUCGGAUUAUUAUAAAGGAAGAAAUGCAAAAAUAAUGAUAGUAGGUAUACACAAGUACCUGCUAAGCGUAAAGGGUAUGAUUAGUAUAAAGUCCCUGAUUUACGAAAGGGUUAUAUUUUAUGUUGUGAGAUCUGAUUUGAUUGUUCUGUAAUGUGGAAUUGUACUUUUCAGGCUUUUGCAAAUGUAUUGACAACUGUAUCGAAGCUGGUGAGCUGAUUAGCGCUCCUAAACCUGGUAGUAUGAUCGUAUCAACGCUUAAGGGGCUGCGAUUGUUGAACUCAAUGCGGAGGGGAUGGUGAGGUCAUUAAGUUGGUUGUCGCAAAAGCAUGGAAAUGUUUUGGCCGCAUUGAUGCUUUGGUCAAUAAUGCUAGAAUAAGAGGUAAUACUACUUGACAGUAGUAAUGGUUAUGAUAAAGUUAAUUAUGUCAGUAGUAUGUAUCAUAUCUGAUCAGAAUUUCUAAACAAAGUGUGAAUUUGUACAUUUAUCUCUUCAGAUUGUAUUUUAUAAACUCCUUCUGUUUCGCGUGUCCACAAUGUUUGCACAUAAAACUACCAAGAGAUAUAUACUUUUAGAAAAAAAUAACUAAUAAGUGACUUAUUUCUACAAAUAAGGAAUGUUAAACACUUAUAAUAUCGUUUUGUAGUUCUUAUUUAUGAUUGUUACUGAAUGUAUUGAUUAUAUUUGCAUAACUCAGGUGGAACGAAAUCUUCAUUUUAUUUAAGUGUAGAAGAAUGUAACAACGUGGUGAGAACCAACUUAACAGGAUCAUGGCUGGUGUCCAAGUAUGUUGGAUUACACAUGGUCGAAGUAGUUCAAGAAGGCUGCAUCAUUAACAUAUCUUCUUCUGCUGGAAAUGAUACAUGCCUUGAGGUUGUACCUAUUCCAAAAUUAAGUCAUGUCGGAGACUCUUCAGAUCCUCUCGAAUUCAUAAGGGAAGUACACAAAACGAUGGACAGAAAAAAGAAAUCAUCAGCUGUUUAUAUGACCUCCAGCUUAAUAAAGUGUGUCGGAAAAUUUAGAGGCCCUGAGGUACAUACUAUUAUAUUGCAAAAAAACAAAAAAUUACAUGCUAUGUGAAAUCGCAAGAUAUAUAUGUGUUCAGUGUUAAAAUUCUGUGUGUGUUUGUGUGUGCACGUUCCUUAUCAGGUUGCAGCUAAGCUUAUUCAUAGCACACUGAAGGAUUCAAGUAUAGCACUUCCGAAUCUAAUUGGAGCAGUGGAACAAAUGGCUAUACAAAAUCAUCCUGUUAAAGGCUUCUACUUCACAGUGGCUGGUGUUCCUGUGGUAACUUGCUAACACUCUUCUCUAAUGAGUAAUAGUGAUAAUACUUUCUGUAAGAAUCUAAGCUUGCCAGGAACUUUCCAUCCUAAAAGAUAAGAAAUUUUUAGAAGAAUCUGUAUAUAUAUUAAGAAAUGAUAAAUACACUAAAACCUAAAAUAUUGAUGGGUUUGUAGAGCACUGGUUUUGCGAUUGUUAGUUAUAUAGGGAAGCCGAGGGUUGCAAUUGCUUCAGAGAAAGGCUACAUCGAUGCAGAUAAAUUCAAGUCUUGCAUUCUUGAGGCUUUCUAUAUCAUUUGUAAAAUUAUUGCUGAUGUCUAUAGGUGGUUCAGUGGAA